UUUAUAGGAUUUUGUUUCCUCAAAAGGAAGCUAGUCCAAAUGAAGGGAAGUCACACUGCUACCCUAUAUACCUACCACAAUCACACUUUGUUUCAUACACAUAAAUGAAUGUGUUCAAAAGUAGGUCUGCAGUUCAAGAUAAAGUGUCUUAAAUUGCAAAUAGCAUCAGGGGCCACUUAGGAAGAAAAACUCAUCUAGUGUUGAAGACAAACAAAAAGUAGCAGGAGAAGUCAUGGAAGGAGGUAGCUCAAAUAAUACAGAUAUAGGGCCAAAGUUGUCGGAGUUGAAAAUGUUGCAAAAAGUGCAUGAUGAAAAAAGCUCAAAAAUUGAAGAGUUGAAGAAACAGAUUGAGUUAACAAAGCAGCGGUUAGAAAAGAAAGAGAUGACAGGAGAUAGAAUGGGAAGUUUCAAUGCCUUAAGCAACAAGUAUAACAGUUUGAGGGAGGAAUACAAUGCUAUGCUAGCUGAAAAAUCAAGAGAAUCAAAUUAGUUUUAUCUCUAAACUUAUUAUAUUAGCCUCAACAUUUAGUUUUAAUUGUUACUCUCUCCAAUCUCAUAUAUAAAUAAAUAUUUUAAUUUCUGAUUUAUUCAAUAA